CCCCAACGUAGAGGUAUUCUCAGGCCGACCUCCCACCCUUUGUCUAUUGAACCCUUGUUGCUUCGGCGGGCCCGUCGUUAUACGGCCGCCGGAGGACCGACUCCAGGUCCUCUGGCCCGCGCCCGCCGGUAGCCAAAAUCACCAAACUCUUGAAUAAUCGUGUCUAUGAUGUCUGAGUACUUUUAUUAAAAUUAAGCAAAACUUUCAACAACGGAUCUCUUGGUUCUGGCAUCGAUGAAGAACGCAGCGAAAUGCGAUAAGUAAUGCGAAUUGCAGAAUUCCAGUGAGUCAUCGAAUCUUUGAACGCACAUUGCGCCCUUUGGUAUUCCGAAGGGCAUGCCUGUUCGAGCGUCAUUAUCACCCCUCAAGCCCUCCGGCUUGGUGUUGGACGGUCUGGUCGAGCUGCUCGACCCCUCCCAAAGACAAUGACGGCGGCCUGGUUGGACCCCCGGUACAUGGAGCUUCUUGAUUGAGCACGUAUCGGUUUCAAGGCGUCCCCGGGACCCGGUCUCACUCUCUCCCCUCGCGGGAGGGAACCCCCCUUUUUUCUAAGGUUGACCUCGGAUCAGGUAGGAAUACCCGCUGAACUUAAGCAUAUCAAUAAGCGGAGGAAAGGUUAUGGUCCGCAGGACCCCCCAGAAAUGGGGCUGGGUGGUGGAGCGCCGCAGUUACAAAGCCGGCACCCCCCCA
rnacentral:rRNA from 1 species